AUGCCGUCCCCACGCCCGGGAUGGGCACUGCCCUGUGCCGGGCGCAGCACCGCAGCGGGGCUCGGUGCCACGCGGGGAGCACGAGGCCACCCGGGGCCAGGCGGGCAGAGGGGAAGGCAGGGCACGCGCGGCCGUGAUGUAACCUGCCCCCGGGGCCGUCCCUGGAAGGGCGCGAGCCGCCCAGCCGGGGUGGGAAGCCGAGGCGCUGCGUCACUCCUGCAGGCUGCGGGCUUGGGUGGGAGCCAAAGGGCUGCCCGAACCGCGCCGGGCUCCAGGAACGCGUCCAGUGUCGGCAGGUCUUGCGUGCUAGCAGCUUAUUUCCCUGCUUCUAGACACUGCAGGAAGGUGAUGGUCAAGGCAACGGGGCUGGGGAGAGGGUUUGCUGUCGGGUCCCUGCUCUCCCCGGCUGGGAACGGGUUCUGGCCACGUCCUCCCAUGUCCCCAGUAGCCCUGGGGACACAUUCAGCCAGUACCCUGCAUGUCCUCCCUGCCUGCUCCUGUCUCUUGCAAGAGGGAAAAGGGGCUGAGCGCCCCAAGCCCAGCACCCCUGGGAACAGCCCCCAUCUUUUGGGGCAGGGGUGGCCCCCCGGAGCCGGCUGCGGGUGCCAGCGCACCGAGGGCAGGCUGUGUUUAACGCGAGCGCUCGGAUGCACCUCGCCAGCCACAGGGAUAACUCACGCACCACCUGGCAGCUAUUUCAUCAGCACGGCCAGACCCAUAAAACCAGUUAGCUUGGAAAAACAGGGACUCUGCUUAAUGACAGCUUUGGAGCCGUGGUGCUCCGGGUCCCAGUCCACUGCGGGAAUAUCUGGCAGAGCCCACGGGAGGUGCCGAUCAGCCCCAGCCCUGCCGGGAGCACGGGGCGAAGCAGACAUCCCCCAGGCACAGCGAGCUGGCAUUUUGCAGGCUCCUAGGAAGACGCAAACACCACAAAAGCUGCUAAAUUCUGCAAGGGGGGUUGCAGAGCUACAAAGUCUCCCCAGCCCCGCUUCUCUGGCUUUCCCCCGUCCCUUAGGGCCGAUCCAGGCACGUGCAAGGUGCUGCUCGGUAAUCCCAGUCCGAGGAUUGGGAGCCACCCUGACCCAGGCAACAUUUUAUUUCUGA
rnacentral:lncRNA from 1 species